GACGAACGCUGGCGGCGUGCCUAAUACAUGCAAGUCGAACGCAGUGGGGCCGGGGUCGUAACACGUGGGUAACCUCCCAUCAGAGGGGAUAACACUUGGCAACAGGUGCUAAACCGAUACUGAUGGAUGGACCCGCGGUGCAUUAGCUAGUUGGGGAGGUAACGGCGCACCAAGGCUACGAUGCAUAGCCGACCUGAGAGGGUGAUCGGCCACACGUGGACGGAGACACGGCCCAGACUCCUACGGGAGGCAGCAGUAGGGAAUAUUCGGCAAUGGACGAAAGUCUGACCGAGCAACGCCGCGUGAGUGAAGAAGGUUUUCGGAUCGUAAAACUCUGUUGUUAGAGAAGCGGUAUCCAACCAGAAAGCCACGGCUAACUACGUGCCAGCAGCCGCGGUAAUAC
rnacentral:rRNA from 1 species